rnacentral:rRNA from 1 species
AGCAGCCGCGGUAAUUCCAGCUCCAAUAGCGUAUAUUAAAGUUGUUGCAGUUAAAAGCUCGUAGUUGAAUUUCGGGAUUGGCGCAUCGGUCGUGCCUCACGGGGUAUGAACUGGUGCAGUCAAUUUCUCACCUUCUGGAGAACCGCGAUGUCCUUAAUUGGAUGCCGCGGGGAACCAGGACCUUUACUUUGAAAAAUUAGAGUGUUUAAAGCAGGCAUUUUUGCUUGAAUACAUUAGCAUGGAAUAAUAAAAUAGGACGGCAUGGUUCUAUUUUGUUGGUUUCUAGGACCACCGUAAUGAUUAAUAGGGAUAGUUGGGGGCAUUAGUAUUCAAUUGUCAGAGGUGAAAUUCUUGGAUUUAUUGAAGACUAACUACUGCGAAAGCAUUUGCCAAGGAUGUUUUCAUUAAUCAAGAACGAAAGUUAGGGGAUCGAAGACGAUCAGAUACCGUCGUAGUCUUAACCAUAAACUAUGCCGACUAGGAAUCAGACGAUGUUAAUUUUUAAUGACUCGUUUGGCAC